UGGGAGGGAGGGCGGUUCGUACAAAUGUCUUUUUUUUUUUUUCGUCUUACAACAGAUGAAAUUCAGAACAGUUUCAAUCUUCACCUUAAAAUAAGCGCUGAACUUCUAAUAUCUAUAAUACUUGUAAUUAUGUGUCCUUGAAGUAACACAGAAAUGCACGCGCACACACACACACACACACACACACAUCAACAUACAGUGAUGUAUGAGGGUGGGUUGGGGGUAUAGUCAGUGCUUGGGUUUUGAAUCAAAAAUGGUCUGACGAAUAGACAAGAAUUGGCAAUAUUUCUGUAUUUUGCAUCUGCAUCUUAAUAGUUGGACAUUAUUGUUAUUAUGAUUGUGAUUUUAUGAACAUUUUUUGUUUGCAGAGAAGGUUUUUUUGUAAUCAUGAAACCUUCUACAGAGGCAUAAAGCUGUAGUCAGUUGGCAGGCAGGUGGUAGUGCUGGGUGAGGGAGGAGGACGAGGAAGUGGAGGCCGAUUGGUCUGUUCAUGUUCCAGUUUUAGUAUGUGUGCCACUGAUGCAAGCAUGGCCUGUUUUUUAUGUAGAUGGCAAAGAUGCUUGGUGUGGCAGCAAGGGGUUUUCGUCUUUCUCUCUCUCUCGCUCUGUUUGUUUUUUUUGCUUUCCAUUUUGUAGUUCCAGCUACUGUUCCUUCUCCCAACACCCAUGUUGCCCCUCUGCCUCCCUCUUCCAUACGAAACGGCCAAGAUCCCUAAAGCUCCUCCCGUCGUCCCCAGAGAAAGGCUGCCGCUGCUGCUGCUGCUGCUGCUGCUUCAGAGCCCUCAAACCCCAGCUCCAGGGUUGCGUGUUGCCACGGCGCCCUCAAACCCCAACUCCAGGGUUGUGUGUUGCCAUGGCGCCCUAGUGUAUGAACAGUGACUUGGCAGAGAGACGUGUCCAUGAGGACGUGGCCUCAAUUGGACUGGAGCCUGAGAAUGACUUUUGACACGGCUUUUGACCUGACCGACCACUUAGCAUCAAGGCUUUUACCUGCUCAUGCCUAAACUGUGUCCCCCUGAUGCUCUGGCUUGCCUUCGAGCUCAAUCCUCGUCAUCUGCCUGCCUGCCUUCUUCUGAUUGGAUGGCCUUGAGCUUGGCUGAGUCAGAACUUCCGAGGUCUUAUUGCUGGCUGGCUGUCAUUCGCCCUCUGCACUCUUUUACCUUUCUCUGUGUUGAAUGUAAGGAAAUAUUUGAAGUGUCGUCCCCCCCCACCCCCCACCCGCCCACACACAUAUAUACUCCUUAUGCUCCUUUUUAACCAUGGGCUGGUACAUCAUUUCACACUCUAGGAUGGUGCAGCAUGCUUCAGAGGUGUCUUGGUUGGGCAAGCCCUCUGUUGAAGGCCAUGCCUUUUUGCAACGUUCCUUUAAGUCUCUUGGGUCAUACGGACAUUAUGAUUAGUAAGGCUGGACUUGUUAGACUGGAGUGCGUGUGUUUGUUUGGUGCGAUGUACUGUACUGUUUGUCAGGGGCUGGGACUGACUGGUCUAAGUAAUGCGAGACCGGAUAUGACCUCCCAGAGUUUCUUCAUGUUGCCCAGGCGGUCACAGCUCAUUAAGUCAGGUAGUCCUCCCUUCUCAUCCCCCUCCACACACACACACACACACACACACAAUCACACACACACCCACACACACGCACACACACCCUCAACCAGUCAACCAACAGUCCUGACUAGAAGUCUCCCUCGUUCUCUCCCCUCACAUCCAACAGUAUCUGAGCCUGGGCCUUCUGCCGCCUCUGAGAAAGGGGUCUGGAAGAGUUUUCAGAAGAGAGAUAAGAGUCUUUUUGCCUGCCAGAUGGGCGUAUGAAAAAACGCUGCCUUUGUAGCUCUGCAACUCAUGAGAGUUGGCGUUAUUUUUCACUUUGAGCCUCUUCCCUUUUUGCGCUCAAGAGUUGUCAGAGCUUCUAGAAUGCACCACAGAUCACUUUGAAAGUCCCUGAUUUGAAAACAACAAAAACAGCGCCUCCAUAUACCAGGAGUUUUCAAGUGCGAAACGGAUCCGUUCACUGGCGGGUUUUAAACCUAAUAUUCUUCAAUAAUGAUUAUAAGAUUGCGCCCCCCCAUCUCUCAGCAGACCAUGGCCAUGUUCUUCUGGAGUAGAGGAGGUUGGUGUGUGCUGUAUGUGCCUCAGUGUACAGAACCCAGCCAUAGAACACGUGAAGUAUCACUGUAACUGGCGUCUGGACGUCGACUCUUGCGCCAAUAUGUGUAAGUGUAGCCUGUUGUGGUUCAUGUAUUAACCUGCUAACCUCGGUUUAGAGUAGAUCUUCACUUCUAACACUACCAUGAAUUCACAAGUCACCCAUUGAUCAUGCUUUUUUUUUUCUUUUUUUUGUCGGUUAAGCUCCAGAUGAUUCAUUAUUUGCUCCCCUCGGAAGAAUGACUCUUGCAGUAAUCCCCACUGUGUUUAUGUGGAGGGAACAGUGGUGGGGUGGGGAGAGGGUGGAACCAGGGUUAGACAUUGUGUAUGACAUUCCUGCUCUUUAAGAAAAUGAAAAUAAAACAAACAACCAAAAACAAAUGACCUCUACCAGUUAAUCUUGAUCUCACUGGAGCUUCUGAGAUGGAGAGAUAAAAAAAAGAAAACAUUGUCUUGCCCUUUUUUAUUUGUUUUAUCCUGCACUCACUGUAAAGAGCCACAAACGGCAACCUUUCAAAGACAGGCCCCCAAAACUGUAGCUGCAGUCUGGAUGCCUUGUGGCCACGUUGAAGAUUUUAGUUUUAGUUUUGUUUUGUUUGUCACAGAAAGGGGUUUUGCUUUCUUUUUAUAAAUCUAUAAAUUGAAAUAUACUGUGGUAAUAACUGUGUCUGGUCCAUAGAAGAGAAACAGGGUUGUAGAACUUGUAGGCUUCGAGAGUUGAAGGAACGGAAGGGGUUGGGG
ensembl:lncRNA